rnacentral:rRNA from 1 species
UNUGACUUGAGUGCAGAAGGGGAGAGUGGAAUUCCAUGUGUAGCGGUGAAAUGCGUAGAUAUAUGGAGGAACACCAGUGGCGAAAGCGGCUCUCUGGUCUGUCACUGACGCUGAGGCUCGAAAGCGUGGGUAGCGAACAGGAUUAGAUACCCUGGUAGUNCACGCCGUAAACGAUGAGUGCUAGGUGUUAGGCCCUUUCCGGGGCUUAGUGCCGGAGCUAACGCAAUAAGCACUCCGCCUGGGGAGUACGACCGCAAGGUUGAAACUCAAAGGAAUUGACGGGGGCCCGCACAAGCGGUGGAGCAUGUGGUUUAAUUCGAAGCAACGCGAAGAACCUUACCAGGUCUUGACAUCCCGAUGCUAUUCUUAGAGAUAGGAAGUUACUUCGGUACAUCGGAGACAGGUAGUGCAUGGUUGUCGUCAGCUCGUGUCGUGAGAUGUUGGGUUAAGUCCCGCAACGAGCGCAACCCUUAUUGUUAGUUGCCAUCAUUAAGUUGGGCACUCUAGCGAGACUGCCGGUAAUAAACCGGAGGAAGGUGGGGAUGACGUCAAAUCAUCAUGCCCCUUAUGACCUGGGCUACACACGUGCUACAAUGGUCGGUACAACGAGUUGCGAGCCGGUGACGGCAAGCUAAUCUCUGAAAGCCGAUCUCAGUUCGGAUUGGAGGCUGCAACUCGCCUCCAUGAAGUCGGAAUCGCUAGUAAUCGCGGAUCAGCACGCCGCGGUGAAUACGUUCCCGGGCCUUGUACACACCGCCCGUCACACCACGAGAGUUUGUAACACCCGAAGUCGGUGAGGUAACCUUUUAGGGGC